UACGUAGGGUGCAAGCGUUGUCCGGAAUUAUUGGGCGUAAAGAGCUCGUAGGCGGUUUGUCGCGUCUGCUGUGAAAACGCGAGGCUCAACCUCGCGCCUGCAGUGGGUACGGGCAGACUAGAGUGCGGUAGGGGAGAUUGGAAUUCCUGGUGUAGCGGUGGAAUGCGCAGAUAUCAGGAGGAACACCGAUGGCGAAGGCAGAUCUCUGGGCCGUAACUGACGCUGAGGAGCGAAAGCGUGGGGAGCGAACAGGAUUAGAACCCGUGUAGUCC
rnacentral:rRNA from 1 species